rnacentral:rRNA from 1 species
CCUGUGACUGCGUACCUUUUGUAUAAUGGGUCAGCGACUUAUAUUCAGUGGCAAGGUUAACCAUCUAGGGGAGCCGUAGGGAAACCGAGUCUUAACUGGGCGUUCAGUCUCUGGAUAUAGACCCGAAACCAGGUGAUCUAGCCAUGGGCAGGUUGAAGGUUGAGUAACAUCAACUGGAGGACCGAACCGACUAAUGUUGAAAAAUUAGCGGAUGACUUGUGGCUAGGGGUGAAAGGCCAAUCAAACCUGGAGAUAGCUGGUUCUCCCCGAAAGCUAUUUAGGUAGCGCCUCGGACGAAUACUACUGGGGGUAGAGCACUGUUAAGGCUAGGGGGUCAUCCCGACUUACCAACCCUUUGCAAACUCCGAAUACCAGUAAGUACUAUCCGGGAGACACACGGCGGGUGCUAACGUCCGUCGUGGAGAGGGAAACAACCCAGACCGCCAGCUAAGGUCCCAAAUUACUACUAAGUGGGAAACGAUGUGGGAAGGCUCAGACAGCCAGGAUGUUGGCUUAGAAGCAGCCAUCAUUUAAAGAAAGCGUAAUAGCUCACUGGUCGAGUCGGCCUGCGCGGAAGAUGUAACGGGGCUAAGUAGU